rnacentral:rRNA from 1 species
AUUGAACGCUGGCGGCAGGCCUAACACAUGCAAGUCGAACGGUAACAGGAAGCAGCUUGCUGCUUUGCUGACGAGUGGCGUACGGGUGAGUAAUGUCUGGGAAACUGCCUGAUGGAGGGGGAUAACUACUGGAAACGGUAGCUAAUACCGCAUAACGUCGCAAGACCAAAGAGGGGGACCUUAGGGCCUCUUGCCAUCGGAUGUGCCCAGAUGGGAUUAGCUAGUAGGUGGGGUAACGGCUCACCUAGGCGACGAUCCCUAGCUGGUCUGAGAGGAUGACCAGCCACACUGGAACUGAGACACGGUCCAGACUCCUACGGGAGGCAGCAGUGGGGAAUAUUGCACAAUGGGCGCAAGCCUGAUGCAGCCAUGCCGCGUGUAUGAAGAAGGCCUUCGGGUUGUAAAGUACUUUCAGCGGGGAGGAAGGGAGUAAAGUUAAUACCUUUGCUCAUUGACGUUACCCGCAGAAGAAGCACCGGCUAACUCCGUG